rfam:Gossypium raimondii Chr03_contig_894, whole genome shotgun sequence.
CCGACCUUAGCUCAGUUGGUAGAGCGGAGGACUGUAGUGGUUAAAUCUGACAGAACAUCCUUAGGUCACUGGUUCGAAUCCGGUAGGUCGGA